UUCACUGUUUGGUUGUUGGGACUGAUGCUGCUAUGAACAUUCUUGUACAAGUUGUCACGUGUACCUGUGCAUUAGUUACCAGCAUGAUACACCUGUAUUACUCUGCAUUCUACCUGCCACAUUCAUGGUCAUUCUACCUAUUGGCUUAAGCUCUACUAUUUAAUUUUUUAAUAAGGUUGUGACUAUUUACUUGUUGAAACGUUUUGUAUCAUAAAUUACUGUCUCUUUUCAUUCUUUUGCAUUCAUUUUAGGGUUUUUUGUCAAUUAUUUUAAAAUUCUGUUGUAGGUAAGUUAUAUCCAGGGAUUUUAUUUCAGGAUAGACAAAAGGGCAUUCCAAUGUAUUUUAUAUUAAAAGGAAAGGGUGUUGGAUUUGAGAAAAUUGGGGACCACUGGCUCUCUUCUUCCCCUCAGUCAGACUUAGGGACUCCUCCUAUGCACCCCAUACUUUGUAUUUAUUGUCACUAAAGCAAUUAUGCAAUUGUAUGAUCAUUGUUAACAGGUCUGUUCUCCUUUAAAGACUAUGAGUGCUUUGUGGGCAAGAAUACUGUCUUUUAUUUAUCUGUUUCCAGGGUCUAGACAGGUUGUAGCACUCAGUCAAUAUCUGCUGCAUGAUGAAUAAUGAUGAAUAUAUGAGAGGACCGUACACAGCAGCAAAGCAGGGAUAGACGCUAGGUGGGAAGAAGGGAUAAGCAUUGGGUGCUGACAUCUGAUUCCAGACUCUGUCCCUCACUUCUGAUCUGAUUGCAGGUUGGCUUGCCUGGAUCAGGGCUCUGAUUCCAUCUGGCAGAAUUCCCUUCACCAUCACCUGCCCCAGCUCCAGGUGGCCGGGACUCCGGAUGCCCCGAGCUCUCAGUCGCAGUGGAACACGGCAUUCACUUCCAGCUCUUUGUCUAGUGCCCGCUGGGUACAUGUCAUCUGCCUGAUUUUACCAUUAGAUGGCACUACCUUCCUAAAAAUUUCCCGGUCUGUCCCAUACUAGUUAGUGAAAUUAAACUGUGAAAUUAUAUCAAUUCAAGAACUAAUUUCACUGCAAAGCCAAUUGACGCCUAAUAAAUCUGACUUUAUGGAUGCUUUGACACUACAGUAUACAAUAUGUUGUGGAUCUGGUCACAAUAUACUGUUACAAGCAACAGUGACUUCCAGACUCCCUUUGGCGGCAACCUUGCACAAUGAACAACCUGCAGAACUAUUUUUGGAGGCCCUCGGGCUAGCUAUUGUCAUCAAGAGACAUCACUGGAGGCAUCACAGAGUAGUCAGCCUCCCCAGUUUACCAGUGGAUGCCUGGCAA